rnacentral:lncRNA from 1 species
CAUUACUCUGUCAAAAGCAAAAGUAUCCCAUAUCAGCAGGGUCGAACGUACUCUAGAUUUGAUGGACUUGUUUUGACCCUCAAAUUCUUCAGUCGACCUUAUACUCUGGAGGAAACCAGAAAACCCUCCAGCUCAGUUCAAGAAUAAGCCUGUGGAAAGUUACUUCUUCAAAAGCAAAAGUAUCCCAUAUCAUCUCUUCUCAUUUUUCUUCUCUUUAUCCUUCAUGCUGCUGCAAGA